rnacentral:lncRNA from 1 species
UCUCUUGUGCACACACACACAUACACUCACAUGCACACUUAUUUUUUGCAUAGUUUGUACAAGUUGUCCAUAAAUAGUAUGUAAUUUUGAAUCUUCCUUUCUCAAAAAAAGGAAAGAGAUUUCCUUGAUUCAUUUUAUUUGUUCCAGGUGCUUUAAUUACAUCAAAUCUAGUUUGUGUAGACGGCUGACAUUCAUGUAAUUAAAUUAUGUUCUUAUUCAUUAUUUCCCUUUUUAUUCCAGUGCUCAUGACAAAUUUUCUUUUUCUCACUGAGACUGCACCUGUUUUCAGAAGUACAAAACGGACAUUUACAUAUCUCCUUUGUAGUUAGAACAUCUAAAAUGCUACUGACAAAACUUUCUUUUAAACAGCUCUGCCCAGGAAUUAAUGAAGAAUGUGAAAGUUUUCUUCACAAAACUAAGAUAUGUUUUCGGUAAAAAUAUGUCAACCUGAUACAAAAGCAGUGAAGUCUUUGGGCCUAAGCUGCUUUGCCUCAUCAACGCUUACAGAAAACCAAACACUUCAGUCCAAAAUUCUGCAUGUGUGAAACACCUGGAGAGCUUAUUAAAACAGAAAUUCCUGGAUUUCACCCCAAAGACUUGGACUCAGUAGAGAAUUUGCAGUUAUGACAAGCUCCCAAAUGACGCUGGCACUACUGUCCUCAGACUGCAUUUGGAGAAGCAUAGAUUUCAUCCUGAAAAAAGCCCUAGGAGAUGACAGAACACAGGAGCUAAGGCAGCAGCCACUGAAGAAACAGAAGGGUCUGAACCAUUGUCGAUAAUUGAGUUUUGCCAGUAGACUGCUGAAGAACAGAAAGGUAAUUGGGUUGAUGGCAAAAUAAAUAGACUC